rnacentral:tRNA from 1 species
GGGGCAGUAGCUCAGUUGGUAGAGCAGGACAAUCUUUUAAUUACCUUAUUCGGGUCAAAACAGGAUUUACUUCUGCACUUUUAAUGCCCGUGUCGUAGGUUCGAAUCCUACCUGCCCCG